AACAGAGGAUGAAAGUGAACUUGUGGGGUCUCUUUCAAGCAUACCUAUUGGCAGUAGCAGUAGGGCAGUAAUAAGUGAAACUGAGAUAACCUGCUCUGCCAGUGAAGCAGAAUUUUCUUUUAGUGGUAAAACUAGUCUGAGUUGAUGAUCAUACCGUUGAUAAAGAAGAUAAAGCCAGUUCCAAGCAUUGCAUUAGAGACUGGGCACUGAAGCAUAUACAUUCCUCACUUUGCACCAGAGCUGCCGAGAUAACUGAAAUGUGCCGGUGUAACAAGAAAAACUUCCCCCUGACUGUAGUUCUCCCUGGGAAAAGUAGCCUAGGUUAAAUUCCCUUCCCCUCUCUCCCCCGGGAAAAUUGGUCUGGGCUGUUUUUCCUUGGGGGGUAAUUACAGACAUAAGAUAUAUUUCCUCCCUCUUGGCCAUUUCACCCAUUCACACAAUAAAAAAUCAUACCACCGUUUUCAAGUCACCAAAAGGCAAGUAGUGUAAUGUAAUGUAAUGCUUAUGACGUAUGUAAAUGUGACAGGACAACAUCGGUCAUAUGGUACUAUUGUCAAGGGAAGGGGGAGACAAGAAUAAAAGUAGGGAAGGAGACGUUUUAUGUCAGAGAAGCAAGUCCACCGCAAGGACACCCCGUACACAAAACUGUAAUGCAACAAAUACAGUGGUUAUUAAAGUAAAAGGGAGCUCAUGAUAUGUUUUCUUAAGAUUUAUAAUUUUAAGAUUAUAAAUGGAAGUUAAAACAUAUUUCCUUAGCAUUAAAAUUCAAGGUUAAAAGGCUGUCUCCCAGCAGACUUAAAAAUCUGUAAAGAGAACAUUAAAAUGUUCUAAUUUCCUAUUAUAAAGUAAAAAAAAAAAAAUCUUUAAAAGGAACUUCAUGCUGGGUUGGGUUACAUUUGCAACAGCUCCACGAUGCCUUGAGAUUUUCUGUAAGAUCCAAGGCAAGUAGUGUGGUACCAUUCGUAGCAAGAUUUACACUCCACCACUUCACGUCCAUCUGCUGUUAUUUCCUCACCUUCUGGACAAACCCAUGCUCCAGGAAUGUCGUCUUCUUUAGCUUUAAUAGCAGCGUGAAACACUGUAACUGCAUCAUCCAUAUAUUAGGAUCUGGCACCUGGGCCCUGACCAGCAAACAUGAAGCACGAUAACUGAUAUUAUCCACCACAAACUUCACCAAGCAUCAGGAAGGAAGGCAGGCAUGGUGAAUAAUGGCCAACAAGGGUGACUACCCUGAGUAGAAACUAGCAAAGCUGAUGUCCGACAACUCCUGUAGGUGUGUCAAGGAGACCACAAGGUCAAAGAUAGGAGAGGAGACAUGGACCAGGCCCAAAUAGUUGCAGUCAACCCAGGUCGUCCCAGGGUUGUGAGGUGAUGCCAUAUAGACCCCCACAAGGCCAUGGAGGAUGUCAGGACUGUUCCUGUGGAUUCUGCCUCCCACUCCCCACCACCAUCACCUCGACUCCUGUCACUACACCACUACUGUAUAGUCAAGUCCAUGUGGUUGGGUGGCCAGCCACUCCCCCAUCACCUGGGCCCCUACCUACCCCCAUCUCUUACCUGGAUGUCCACCCACCACAAUAAAAGCAGAUAAGCAUUCUGGGAUUAUUUUUUUAGUUUAGUUAGGUGGUAUUGGCCUGGAGGGGAAUUUGGUUUAGACAAGGAUCCUCCUCUGUCUGCUUUUAUUAUUUUUUUUGUUUGUGUUAACUUCUGCUGUGAUACUUGAGAGUGCUAAGUAAAUAUUAAUUUAUUUA